CCUACGGGAGGCAGCAGUGAGGAAUAUUGGACAAUGGGCGCAAGCCUGAUCCAGCCAUGCCGCGUGCAGGAUGACGGUCCUAUGGAUUGUAAACUGCUUUUGUACAGGAAGAAACAGUUCUACGUGUAGAACCUUGACGGUACUGUAAGAAUAAGGAUCGGCUAACUCCGUGCCAGCAGCCGCGGUAAUACGGAGGAUCCAAGCGUUAUCCGGAAUCAUUGGGUUUAAAGGGUCCGUAGGCGGUUUAGUAAGUCAGUGGUGAAAGCCCAUCGCUCAACGGUGGAACGGCCAUUGAUACUGCUAAACUUGAAUUAUUAGGAAGUAACUAGAAUAUGUAGUGUAGCGGUGAAAUGCUUAGAGAUUACAUGGAAUACCAAUUGCGAAGGCAGGUUACUACUAAUGGAUUGACGCUGAUGGACGAAAGCGUGGGUAGCGAACAGGAUUAGAUACCCUGGUAGUCCACGCCGUAAACGAUGGAUACUAGCUGUUGGAAGCAAUUUCAGUGGCUAAGCGAAAGUGAUAAGUACCCCACCUGGGGAGUACGUUCGCAAGAAUGAAACUCAAAUGAAUUGACGG
rnacentral:rRNA from 1 species